rnacentral:rRNA from 1 species
CCCUUUAAUGUUUGAUGUUCUAACGUUGACCCGUGAUCCGGGUUGCGGACAGUGUCUGGUGGGUAGUUUGACUGGGGCGGUCUCCUCCUAAAGAGUAACGGAGGAGCACGAAGGUUGGCUAAUCCUGGUCGGACAUCAGGAGGUUAGUGCAAUGGCAUAAGCCAGCUUGACUGCGAGCGUGACGGCGCGAGCAGGUGCGAAAGCAGGUCAUAGUGAUCCGGUGGUUCUGAAUGGAAGGGCCAUCGCUCAACGGAUAAAAGGUACUCCGGGGAUAACAGGCUGAUACCGCCCAAGAGUUCAUAUCGACGGCGGUGUUUGGCACCUCGAUGUCGGCUCAUCACAUCCUGGGGCUGAAGUAGGUCCCAAGGGUAUGGCUGUUCGCCAUUUAAAGUGGUACGCGAGCUGGGUUUAGAACGUCGUGAGACAGUUCGGUCCCUA